AUCAGGAAAUUCCAGGACUGCUCAAUUUUCAGCAAAUGAAUAUCUGUCCUGGAAUUUCCUGAUUUCCAGGACAGAUAUUGAUUUGCUGAAAAUUGAGGUAGAAUUGGGCUGAGUCCAUU
rnacentral:precursor_RNA from 13 species